UACGAAGGGGGCGAGCGUUGUUCGGAUUUACUGGGCGUAAAGGGCGCGCAGGCGGCUCAUUUUGUCAGGCGUGAAAGCCCCGGGCUUAACCUGGGAACUGCGUUUGAUACGGAUGGGCUAGAGUUCGGGAGAGGAGCGUGGAAUUCCCAGUGUAGAGGUGAGAUUCGUAGAUAUUGGGAAGAACACCGGUGGCGAAGGCGGCGCUCUGGACCGAGACUGACGCUGAGGCGCGAAAGCGUGGGGAGCAAACAGG
rnacentral:rRNA from 1 species